UGGGGUACGUUACCAUUAGAGAUAGGUGCGCCCCUUGUGGUCGGUGUACAGGUGGUGCAUGGCUGUCGUCAGCUCGUGUCGUGAGAUGUUGGGUUAAGUCCCGCAACGAGCGCAACCCUUGUCCCGUGUUGCCAGCAGGCCCUUGUGGUGCUGGGGACUCACGGGAGACCGCCGGGGUCAACUCGGAGGAAGGUGGGGACGACGUCAAGUCAUCAUGCCCCUUAUGUCUUGGGCUGCACACGUGCUACAAUGGCCGGUACAAUGAGCUGCGAUACCGCGAGGUGGAGCGAAUCUCAAAAAGCCGGUCUCAGUUCGGAUUGGGGUCUGCAACUCGACCCCAUGAAGUCGGAGUCGCUAGUAAUCGCAGAUCAGCAUUGCUGCGGUGAAUACGUUCCCGGGCCUUGUACACACCGA
rnacentral:rRNA from 1 species